rnacentral:rRNA from 1 species
CCUACGGGUGGCAGCAGUGGGGAAUUUUGCGCAAUGGGGGCAACCCUGACGCAGCAACGCCGCGUGAGUGAUGAAGGCCUUCGGGUCGUAAAGCUCUGUCAGAGGGGAAGAAAUGCAGGUGGUGAACAACCAUUCUGUUUGACGGUACCCUCAAAGGAAGCACCGGCUAACUCCGUGCCAGCAGCCGCGGUAAUACGUAGGAGGCGAGCGUUGUCCGGAUUGACUGGGCGUAAAGCGCGUGUAGGCGGUCUUUUACGUCGGGUGUUAAAGGCCCUGGCUCAACCGGGGAAGAGCGCCCGAAACGGGAGGGCUGGAGGGCAGUAGAGGAAAGUGAAAUUCCCGGAGGAGCGGUGAAAUGCGUAGAUCCCGGGAGGAACACCAUUGGCGAAGGCGGCUUCCUGGGCUGACCCUGACGCUGAGACGCGAAAGCCGGGGGAGCAAACCGGAUUAGAUACCCCGGUAGU